rnacentral:misc_RNA from 1 species
CACGAACCGGGCGAACGUUGUUCGGAAUCACUGGGCUUAAAGGGUGCGUAGGCGGCCGACCCAGUCGGAUGUGAAAGUCCUCGGCUCAACCGAGGAAUGGCGUCCGAUACUGGUCGGCUUGAGGAAGGUAGGGGUCUGCGGAACUUCCGGUGGAGCGGUGAAAUGUGUUGAGAUCGGAAGGAACGCCGGCGGCGAAAGCGGCAGACUGGGCCUUCCCUGACGCUGAGGCACGAAAGCCAGGGGAGCGAACGGG